UCAAAGACGUUGCUGAGGUAA
rnacentral:miRNA from 1 species